UACGGGGGGGGGCAAGCGUUGUUCGGAAUUACUGGGCGUAAAGGCUCGUAGGCGGCCAACUAAGUCAGACGUGAAAUCCCUCGGCUUAACCUGGGAACUGCAUCCGAUACUGGUCGGCUUGAAUCCGGGAGAGGGAUGCAGAAUUCCAGGUGUAGCGGUGAAAUGCGUAGAUAUCUGGAGGAAUACCGGUGGCGAAGGCGGCAUCCUGGACCGGCAUUGACGCUGAACAGCGAAAGCUAGGGGAGCAAACGGG
rnacentral:rRNA from 1 species